rnacentral:rRNA from 1 species
GGAGUAGGUCCCAAGGGUUGGGCUGUUCGCCCAUUAAAGAGGCACGCGAGCUGGGUUCAGAACGUCGUGAGACAGUUCGGUCCCUAUCCGCUGUGUGCGUAGGAAACUUGAGAAGGGCUGUCCCUAGUACGAGAGGACCGGGACGGACGAACCUCUAGUGUGUGGGUUGUUCCGCCAGGAGCAUCGCCCAUUAGCUACGUUCGGAAGAGAUAACCGCUGAAAGCAUCUAAGCGGGAAGCUCGCUUCAAGAUGAGGUUUCCCAUUGGUUUACCAAGUAAGGCCCCCAGAAGACUACUGGGUUGAUAGGCCGGAAGUGGAAGAGGAGCGAUCCUCGGAGCUGACCGGUACUAAUAGGCCGAGGAUUUAACUACAA